UGCCUGUUUUACGGAACCUCCUACAAAUUGGACCUCAAAUCCAAUUAGAAAACUUGUGGUUAUUUCCAUACUAAUAAUGCCACUAUUUCACUUAUGGAUAUACCUUCCAGGAAGAUGAUAAUUGUAGCUCAUGGUCGUCAGAGGCACUGCACACAUGUUGUGCAUUGACAAACAUGAAGGCAAACUCAUAUACAGAAAAUAAAGGCUUAUGUGUCCGUAUAUGGCCCACAGCGGGACGUUCACUCAUUUAAUGGUCCUAAUAGGCUCUGAAUUUUGUUCUCUAUGCAUUAUGUGACAACUUAUACAUUCUGGAGACCUAUGCUACAUCUCAAUGUGGAUGAUGCAUGAUAAAAUGCUAUGAAACAUUUCAAUUCCAUGUGUCCUGUGAGAAAGCCUAAGAGGUUCACGCUGAGAGGACGGAGUGUGCAGGCAUUUCACUGUUAUGGUCACCGUGUGGCAGUGAAGAUAAAGAUCUUUUCCAUAUGAUACCAUCCUCAAAAUUUCAAACAUACUUGUUACUUGGAAUUUUUUAUAGCCUGAUUAGUUCUGUGUCCUCAAUUGAAAAUGAAAAUUCAAAUAAUGAGAGGUAAUCACUUAAUACAGCCUCUUUUCAA